UUAACUUAUUUUGGUAUGGAAUGGGAUCGUUUGCCUACGUUUGCCGCUAGGGGCGCUAUCCAACUGCAUACAAAAUUGGGCUA
rnacentral:pre_miRNA from 1 species